GGUUUUGUUCUCUGUCUGUUAGAGAAUUGCGGAUUAAUUUUGAUACUGAAGUUGAGCUCACCUCCCCUGGAGGAGCUAACCCUUCCUUUUCACAAUGUGUCCUUGCCUCCCAACCACAGGCCCCUUGGCGCAACCUCAAUGAGAGGGUGACACUACAGCUUCUGUGCUGAUAAAGUGAAAACAAUUGACUUCAUUCAUGCUGCUGCUUCCACAGAUACGGGGCUGAGGUACUACAGCCCAUACUGCAAAGAAUGCUAGGAAAAAUAAUUGUUCAUACCUCCGUCAGAAAUGACUUCUAUACGAAAUCCUUAUCCAAAGCUGAAACAAUUAGAAGGAAUACUAAUGUGUUUAAGUAAGAUAAUCUUACAUUACUGUGGAAAUAAGAUAUUGUUGGCCUCUGUUCUUCGUAUAACUGGACUCUGUCUUUAGAAAUGCAGUUUCCUGUUUUAGGGGAGCUUGCUGCAGUGCCUGCCUGUGCAGGAGCGGCCACUCAAGUGCAGUGGAGCAGCUGGGGCACGUGCCAGCAUUCCUUCCUGGUGCGUGUCCUGUGGGUGCAGUCGGUAACCAGAAGGGUUACAUGGAAGUGCCUCGCUGAUUGGCUGUUUGCAUGUAUCACCAGCAUCUCAGCUUUGCAGCAUUGGUGGAGUUCAAAUCACUCUUUAUAUUCAAACACGGUAAUUUGCAUGAGGCAGAAAAACAGAAUUUAGCCUACUGGUAGUAUGUGUUUGCACAAGCAGUAAUUCGUAUUGUGACUCCAAUGUGAUUUGUUGCAGAAGCCAAAAAGUGCAUGCCUCAUGCUUUCUGCAUGCAAUUCAUUCUAGCGACAAAGGGCUUACAACUUUUUGUCCCGUUGCUUUUGGUUAUGGAAGGAGAGUUUUCCCAUUUACCACAAAUGAAGGGUGUUGUAAUGUUGAAUGUUUUAAGUCCCACUUACUGCUGAAGUCUGCGUGUACAGCCUUCCACAUCAGUGCUGGUUUUGGAGAUGGCACCUGAGGUUUUAAUAAUUAUACUGUUGAUAGAUGUGAAUUAUUCAGACAUCCUUCUUAAUUUAUUCUUUUUAAUGAUCCCUGGAUGAUUUUCUCAGUAGUUUGUCCCAUUACCUAGGAUCAUCCACUUUAACAUAACUUUUUUUUUUUAAUAAAUAAGAAUACUACUGAAUCCCAUGGCCUGCUUGGGGCUUGCUCAGGCAUAUCAGUUCUUUGAAUACUGAAGUUGUUCAUUUUAUUAAAUGUUUCUUGUUUUUUCUUCCAAAUUCAGCAUUGGUUUGUGUUAGAAAAGGAGCAGAGGAGGUGGUAUGUUCGCCAUUUCGUAUCUCAGGUGGCAGGUAUUUUUCCAUCCCUUUUUCGUGGGCUAAGACACACCGUUGAUGACAAGAGUGAACGCUGGGAGAGGUGAGACUUCUAGACCCUCAGCCUUGUCAGCACCGAUUUUAAUAGACAAAAGGGGAAAAUGUUGGGGGGGUGGUUUGGUAAAAACAGGCAAAAUACUUCAGGGGUAUUUUAAUUGUAAACCCUCUGUUGUUUUUUGUUUUGCUUGUUUUGAUUUUGUUGGUUUUCUUGUUUUGAAUUCAGGAGGGGGGUUAAUUUGCUUCCAGAUCUCAUACAGUGCCUUUUGAAAUUGCUUCACUUUGUUCCCUCCACUUCUCUUCCUACAGUGGCCACGCUGUUGCAAAAGAUUUUGAUCAGAAAAUACACCAGCAGGAAUUGGAACCACAUUGUUCUGUUGCUUGGGAAACAACUAAGAAGAGAAGUUUUCGUGGCUUCACAUGAAACUCCCACAGACAAAGGUUUUCUGCCCAUACACCGAGCUUAAUUUCAGGGAGUUGUGCAUUCUCGGGCAAGCUGAUUGCUUUUCUUCUUAGCCUGAGGGCAGGCGGCCACUGGGUGCUGAAAUUCAGUGCAGCUUGAUACUGCUGCGUUGGCAGGGGCAGCGUCUGCGGCAGCCUGCUGUAACAGAGGAGGGCUUAUUGUGUGUAGCUGGAGCAGGCAGUUUGUGUAGCAACAGCUCUCCAGCCAAUCGCCAGAGGUGUUAGAGAAAGUGGAAGCGUUUGUAGCACUUCCUCUGCUUUUAUUUUUAAGAUACGCCGUAUUCUUUUCAGAGCCCCCUCCUCCCCUGCAAGUGCCAGGCGGCAUCCUGAAAGCUUUCACUCUGUUCUGUGCAAUAGAACUUGGACACUGGGAACAACUGCAAGUUGAACCAAGCCGUUUUUUUCUGAUCUUUUAGUUUUGAGCCAUGUUUGCCACGAAAAGGUUCCGUAUUUUGUUUUGCUCUCCUUUUCUGGAAAGUACUUUGCAGUGCUGGCUGUGCUGUUUAGCUAAGGAAAAUGUCUGAAUUUGUGUGUAGGCAUUUUGUAAGAGGACUUAGCGAAAAAAAUCUCAUUGGCCUUUACUCUAGUUUCUCAACAUGUGUUUUGAUUAACAAGGCUACAGCAGAGGGAGUUCUGGAAGCUACUGCAUACAGCAAAACGUAGCUCACUGUAUCAGAGAUGGCUGACUGACGAACAGUUCACUCUGCCAUUAGGCAGUUUCCUGUAAUGAGGUGGAGGGAGUUGGAUAGCUAAUGCAGAUGAUGCUGGCAAGUAGCCUUGCGCUGUGAGGAGAUGGGAGAGGCUAAGAAUUAAUGCAAGUCAGAAAAGCUAGUACUGAGGAACUGAGCUCUAUUCCAACCUUACAGCUAUUUAAGACAGCUGAAUGCACUAGAUAAUAGAAAUACAAAAGAUGAUGAUCCCUGAAGCUCCUCAGUCCACUGUUCUGUGUUUUGGAACAGAAGAAAAUCAGUCUUAAACUGAGUUUUCAUCUGCUGGGCAAACAUCUCCUGCCCAGUGAUCGGAGCUGUCUGAUGAAGCUGUAUAAUCUUGGUAGCGAGCAGUGUCCUUGCUUUGGUUAAAAAAAAAAAAAAAAAAAAAAAUCCAACCUAAAGUAACAGCAGCUGAGUUUUAGGGAAGAUACACAUCGCAUCUCCUGUUGUUACACACAGAGGCCUUGUGUGUAACAGCAUGAGCUGCUGUUUUUGACAGGUCCUUGAAUUCGGUUUGAUGGUCUUUCCUUUCCUGCAGUCCUGUUAGCGUUUGUUUGUGGAAUUCUGUCUUGCCCAGAGGCCAAGGAACAGAGGCCUGUUGCUCAGCUGCCAGAGGUGGCUGAGGGCGCUGCUCACACAGCAAAGCAUGCAGCGCUGGGGAAACGGGCAGGCCUCUUUCCCAAGAGCAAUUUUAGAGAAGGUAUUUCCAGUGCUUAUCAGAAAAACGAUAGAGUGUUUAUUUUCUGGUAAAGACAGGUGUGCAAACACUAAACUUUACAUAUACUGAACCUUGAAAUCUGAUUUUCAUUAGUAGAAUACUUGUGUGUUUUCACGCACGCAUCCAUGCGGGUUGUUUGUGGAAGGCUGCGGUUCUAUUGGUGUUGCAGUUUUCAUAAAAGCAAGUUGGGAAGUAGGCGAUUUGCUGAGUGGUUAUUGAAUGAUGCUUGGAGAGAGAGCGCUGUGUUUUCCUCCUGUGGAAAUGCACAGUAUGGUCAAUUUUAAGAGGUUGUUAAUUGGGGAGAUGUAACCAUAUGUGACAUGUAUGCUGCGUGGGUACAAGGCCACAGAACAGAGCUAGACAGAAAGCUGUUUCGUGUCUAGGGGCUGUGAACCAGUCACCAUUCAAUUAAUUAAAAGUGACAUUGAUAUGAAAUGGUUGUCGCUUUGGGGUGCCAAGGAAUGGCACCUGUACACGAUGAAAUAAGAUAGAUUUGCUAUGGUGCAUUUUCAGUAACGCACUGUGAAACCGGCCUCUAAACCUAGCUUUUAUCCUAGCAUCAAGAAAGAAAGCUGUAGUAUUGCAGCAUUCUUUAACUGUCAUGUUUUCCUUUUGGGUCGAUGCAAAGGAUGUGUUUUGGUGACCUCUGUAUGUAUUACCAGGACAUGUGCAUGAUUGAAAGUGAGUCAUCUUAUUUUUUUUUUUUGGAAGUUCGGUAGACAGCUGGGUGUUCAGGAGGGAUCACUGAGCAGUAAAUCAUGCCUACCUGUGUUCUUGGUAAGAGAAAGAGCUCUGUCAAGAAACUCAGAACUUUAAUGCAGCUGGAGAAGUAGGAGUGGGAAUGGAAAAGGAGAAUGACUAUUGCUUUCAUUACUGAAAACAAAUAACUGUUCUGUAGACAGCCCAUAGUCUGUGAGCUGUGUGGAAUCGGGAUGCUCUCACUGCCUAGUUUCAACCUGCAGAUCUGUUGUGGAGGUGCUAGUGAGCCCCAUUGUACCCCACAGAAAACUAUGGUUGAGUUUAGGUGCAUUUGCUGUUCUGUCUGCAUUUGUUCAUGACUGAGAGGGUAGCUGUCUGACUAGAAGGGGAGGAGAAUGGAGUGAGAAGCCUGUUUUCCUAGUACCUUAUUGCUUACACUACUCCUCUAAAAGCAGAAGGAAGUCUCUUCUCUGUCUGUGCUGUUUUUCCAGUUACAUUCAUCUGACUAGAAAACAACGUUGAGUUUGGUUCCUCUAUUUCCCUGCCUUCUCCACGCAUAUACCUUAAAAUAGAAUGGAUCUGUCUAUCAAGUUUUGCAGGUUGGUGGAGGAAGUUGUUUGAUGCUUAGGCAGGGGUUAUAGAUGAAAGGCACAGGAACCUGUGAGGAUUCUCUCCAUCGGGAGACCAGGAAGGUCAGGAUAUAUAUUCCUUGCAUCCUCUGGACUGCCAGAGGAUCCUCAAUUUGAGGAUGUGAAUUCUACCUGUUCUUCUAUUCCACAGAGCCAAGGUGAGUUUCAGCAAGCUGCAGUACAGUCAGCGGAGGUUUGCGAGUCAUCCGAAAAUGUCUGUGCUUCAGCGUGAGGCUUGGAACUGGUGCAUGUUGUUGCUGUAUGCCAUUUUGUUUGUCAGACAAAAAUUAGGAGGUGAUUACGGUCUAGCCUGUUUUGCUUCAUGGUUUUAUGUCUUCUUAUAGUUCCAUAAUUGUAUAUUAUAGGAGGUUCAUUAAAUCGCAUUAUAAUUAUCCUCAUUAAAAGUUAUUUUGUCUUCUAUGAAGGCAACUUAUCCUUCCCCUCACUACUGGCAGCCUGAAAUAGUAGGAAGCCACGAGUCAGACCUUAAUGCAGUGGGUUUGCAGACCUUCAUAGCUCAAAGAUCUUCUCACUUUGAGUUUUCCUGCAGGUUGUCUGCUUUUCUUUUUUUUAUCUGAAGCUGAAAGAUAGAAAGUGUUGCUGCUUUUACUUUAGGUGAAAGCUAGAUUCCACUGAAAUCGUGAUUUCAAAACCUGGGUCUUUAGAGAGAACACUGCAUCUUGAAUGGGCAAGAAAACUUUCAUUAUUCCAAAUCACUUUCUGCUGUUGUUGUAAAUAGUGAUAAGACAAUUAGUGUGUUUGGUAAAGUGCUUGCCACUAGACUUUGCCUAUACAUCUUAGAUCAAUAAAUCUAAAAAACCUGUUUUUACUUCUGAGCAUGUUUCAGCUCAGCAAACUGCCAAGCACUUGGUUCUUUAGCCAGUCAAACCGCUGUUAAUGGGUACUCUUGCCUCCAGUUAAGAAGAGAAACAGAACAUUGCUUACGAUAGACUUUUCUGUUAUGCACGCUCUUUAUGUAUGCUUGAAUUUGUGGUUUCUGAUUUCAUGGAGGUGUUUAGCUAUAGCAGUUAGGCAAACGUGGAGUGUCACUGUGUUUUUUUUCCUGGCAGCGUCACUGAGACAGCGGCAGUGAAACCAAUCCAGAGUCAGGUUCUGUUCACCACUUGCCCAACUCAUGCUCACAAGCACUGGCUUCACGAAGCGUGUCAAAAUGCAGCAAAGGGAGUGCUGAGCAAUUAGUACCUAGCAGCAGAUGAAGUUUUGGCUAAGAAGAACCUUUUUUUUUCUUCUUUUCUUUACCAUUCCAGAAACACAGACAAGACAAAUGACUGUACAGCUUUGGGUGCUAUCUGCUCAAAGCAUUUUAUCUGUGAAAUGAAGUUACCUUGUUCAGGUAUCCCUGUGUCCAGAGCCAGCUGACCUCUGCCCUUGUGUUUGUCACAUAUAAGAUUUUCUGUAUUUAGAUGGGGUUCUUUUCAUAUGCUUGCUUGUGUGGGCUGUUGCCUGGUUCAGAUGUCCACAUACUGCACAGUGCCUGAAAACCUAACAGAAGCUGAUACAGUCUUCUUCCUGCAGGAUUCUCCCCUUGAAGGAAUAUCUGCCACUAGUGAUGCAGUACCUGCUUUACAUCGAAACAUCUCAAGUAUGGUUGCCCAUACCAAACAUCCCUUAUGUGAUAGUUCUUGGACGCAGCAGGAAAAAGCUGUUUAAUGCAGUGGCCUCAUUCAUCUUGGACAAAAGAUAGUCUUGGUACGUCGAAGAGGACGGUGGGUAGGGAAGAGAUGAACUGUCGGGUUACUCAGCACGUGGGUACCUACUGAACAUGCCAGGAUGUUUAAAAAUAAGUAAAACAGUUUCAGGCAAGGCUUACUAGUUUCUGCAGACCCAAAAAAAUCAAACCCAUGUCUGCUUGUGUGACCUUGUUUGUUAAGCUCUGGAGGUUAAAGGACUUGGAAAAAAAAUGUUUCUUUGAAACUGGAGUAGUGCUUUAAAGUUAAUUUUAAAGAUAAGAGCUUUUACACUCUAGAAAAUAUAAUAAAACACUAUCUAAAGCUCCUAAAUGAACCAGAACUGUGACUAAGCAACAACAAAAAACCUUACAAAUAUGAUUAUUUCCAGUCUCCCAGAACUCCGUCUGGAAAGGCUGCAAUGUGUGACCUGCUAUGCAGCAGCAGUGUCUUGGUUGGUGGUGCUUAAUUCCAGUCCCAUAUGGCAGCAAAUGGACUGAUUUCUGCAAACUUCAGAGUUAUCAUGAUAGGCUGCUUCAAAGAUCUGUUUCAUGUUCUAGUAGAUGAUUAAUUGAAACUGUUGAUUGACUGUUUUUAAGCAGUCUGUUUAUGUAUGUGUUUCCUGAAAGGGAGAUCACUGGGUUUAUUCCUGUCCUGCUAAACUUCGUAACUGUGCCAAAUCUACUAAAGGAGAAAUUUUCUUGCUUGUAAACCUUUUCAGUUUGAGAGAACAGCUAUGUGGACUCUGUAGUGAUAAUAGAUUUGCAAAACAAGAUUUUCACCUUUGGUCUUUGGAGAGAAGUACACUAAAAAUGGCAAAGAAAGUUUAAAAAAAAAAAGUGUUUUUCUAUUCCAAGGAAGCAGUUUGAUUUCCCCCUGCCCCAAGUUCUUACUCUUCAUUAAUAACUUUCCAACAUACAAUUAAUGGUUAUGAAUACUCACAGUUCUUACCACGUUUCAGAAGCUCUCUGUAUCAAACAGGCGUGAGCCUGGGAUUCCUUUGUACUGAGCUAAGAUGAAAGUCUUAGUGCAUGACAGUGGGAAAUACACAAUUGGUAAGGGGCUAAUUUUAGGUUUCCUAGCUGCACCAGGCACUGGUUUCUGCUUCUGAUUUAUUUAUUAUUUUUGCUUAACAACAUUUUUCGAGGGAAGAACUGUCAAAUGUGUAUGUUGGGCUCAGAAGGCUUUCAGGUACAUACUGAGUGUUAGGCCAGCUAAGAUCUGUCUGCUUUGAGGACUGCAGAUGGUCAUGUCAGUAUACUUUGUAUUUAUUCAGAGUUAGUUGCUAUUAGUGACUUAAUUUUUUUUGGGGGGGGCAAUAGUAAAGCAGUGCCUUUCCCCCUUGUGUGCUGGAUCUUGCAGUAAUGUCACUGGUCUCUGGCUUAUAGUGCCUGUAAGUAGUGUUUGCAAAUCAACGUUGCAGCUUUGGCAGCAGGAGUCAUUGGUGAGGAUACAAGUGGAAGUGAGGUGUCUAACUCCUGCAGCUUGUCAGUGGACUUUGUACUUAGCUGCCCUUCCUGAUUGCUUUUCUUUCUUUCCUUUUUUUCCUUUCUUGCUUCUGAUCUUUACUAUUAAGGAAAAGGAAAAAAAAGUUAUAAGUCAUAAUUACAGUAAUAGCACUUCAUAUUGUUGUAGAAAGUCAUUACUUGGCUUAUCACAUCCAUCCUCUGCAGUUGUAGGUCCAUGACUUCUGUCUUGUGCAGCUUUUCUUUUAAUAUCAGAUCAGAAAGUGAAAAUUCCCUGUACGAGCAGAGAAGGCCCCAGCCUUGACCUCCUGCAAGGCAGCGUGAGGUUCACUGAUUCAUUCAGUUAUCACGGGUACAAGGAAACUAUUUCAUACCAGACCUCUCCCCAUUUAAGUUUGGCUUGCUAUGAGUUGCUAAUAAGAAUAGGACUCAAAGGCAAUUUACUGAUUGCCCUCCUAUCCUAAAUCAGGAUGCAAGCUACUGCUAUGAGCCCCAGUGACUGACAGCAAGUAACAGAAAAUUAUAAAUGGUUUUUUGUAUGAGAAAUCUCUUCUGUCAGCCCUUUUAUCGAAGCAGCAAUCUGAAACAAGAAAGGUUAUUCUGUUAUUUCACAAAUGAGUGGAACUAAUUUCCGAUCAGAUGAACCUGAUUGGAAUUAAAGUGGCAUGUGAGAGGCACUGACAUUUAGAACUCAUCACAAAUAUUUAGAGAGGGUAAUCUCUCCUACACAGAGAUAUACAAAUUCUCUGGUAGCACCUUGCAGAGCCCAAGAUCUCUUCUGCAGUAUGCAAAAGCUUUAAAAUGCCCUCUAAAGCCUUCAGCUGAGAUGGUCAUUAGGCACUUAUUCCAGAUGCUUUUAAGGAUUUUUUGGAAUGCCAGUUGUUCUAGGUCUGGCUCUCAGGACAAAGCAAACAACUGUUGUUUCCCUUGAAAUUUUGUCUAAAGCCAUAUUUCAGACACUAAAAUACAGUAUUUAUUGAAAUGAUGACUUUUUUUUUUGCUGCUCAUAAAAGAUAUGACAUGAAAAUUAAAUGUACGACAGAUGCUAGAGAUGUCUCAUCUCAGCUGAAUUGGGUUACUAUGUAAAUCUUCAGUCACAUCCUCCUCUGCGCUGCAUCUUCUUACUUUAUCUCUUGGUUGCAUAUAAAAGGCAGAAAUGAACUGUGCUGAGGACUUGCUGAUGACAAAAGGAGUGUGUGCUCCUUUUGUGCCUGGCAUUCAUCUGACCACACGCUCAGCAAGCUGGUCCUGAUCUCCUCAUCCAGCAGCAGAAAUGGUGUUAAUUUUUUUUCUGUUACAGUUGACUGGGGUCAUGGUACAGCUGGGUGCCAGAGCCAGCUCGAGGUGCAGGGGGAGCAUAUGGCUGUGAGAGAGGGGGUAAGGGAGAAGUGGGAAAGGAGAGAUAGAAAACACCCUGUUUUUGCUAUUUUUAACAUAUAACAGAUAGCUCCCUGAUACUUACCAGUGUUUUUUGGCUGAUCUUUGUUGUGUAUUGCUCUAUGCGCACUGUGCAAGUAGAAAGGCUGUGAGGAACUGAGUGUUGUUCUGGCAUCUUGCCUGCUUCCUGCCCUAGUGCCCCAACCACAGUAUGAGCGUAGAUUUGCUUUGUGAUGCUCCAUGGAGGGUAUUAAGCUGCCUCUUCUACUCGGUUAGAGACAAUUCCUUGCACAGAAGGGGAGGAGAUACACGUUUUGGUAAUACUUGGAUUGCCAGUAAUUCUAUGACGUGGCAGUGUUUAACUGUAUGUAUGAAAUACUUACCUGUGAUUACUGAAGUAUAUUGUAAUAGCAGUUUGUUUUGCAUGCUAAAACUUGCAAGAGAAAAAUGCAUUUAGUUGUCAAAUAGCUGGAGAAAUUUGAAGCUGGUGGAUUAUUUUCAUUAGAUGGAGAAAAUGGCAGGAAACCAAAUGCAUGCAGACACAAAUGGAAUUCAGGAGCUAUGCGGUGUGCAGAGUCAGUGUUCCUUAUUCUGAAUAGAGUUCGUGUAACUAGAGAUGGAUUGAAGUGCUGCGUUUUGGGAGUUUUACGCCUGCUAUUACGAAAUGUUCAUAGUAGAGAUUGUACUCGUAUGCACGGUUCACCGUGACCAGGUAUGAUUGCCAUGCUGAAAUUCCAGGCUGUGGAGGGAUGCGGGCAGUAGGCGUGCUGUGUGACACAACCCAUGGCGAUGGGCCUGGUGGCCUCUGUGUCUGCACUGUGUGGAUUCCAAGGCCGUGGCCCUCCCCACAGCGAGGAGCCCUGAGCAGCGCGGCAUGGGCAGCCCAGGUGGAUUCUGAGGGGCCGGAUCACCUCUGGCUUGCAGAAUGCAUGGCUUUCUCUGAGACCGUUCGCUGUUACUUCCUCAUUAUUCCUUUCAGUUAAAGAAUGCACCCUUCUUUUCUUCACUUGAAUAGACCAAGUAGAAUUGAUCAUUGUUUCCUACCACAGAAACAAGUAAUUAUUUACCAAAAAUUGCACAAAAAUUGUUGCAUUUUAAUCUAUUGUAGUUCUUUGUCAUUUACGGCCUAUCAGAUUCUUUUAGAACAAGCUGAUGAACAGGCUUAAAUUAUCAUUUUAUGCUUCUUUUUUUCAUUAAAUUAAGCUUGAACUCAGAAAACGAGGGUGGCUGAGUAACGGUGGUGCUAUUCAGAUGAAGCGUUCAUUAGAUCCAUGCAGCUGUCCUGAGAUGUUUGUUUCCCCUGACUUGCAGAUUCUCCUAAUCCUCUCCCACUGGUCGCUGCCGCCCUCUGCACCACGUGCAGAUGGGUGGUACCAGUGUCCUGUUACCUGCUCCAGGCAAAGUGGGCCGGAUAAGAUUAGUGCUUGAAGUCAGUGCCCUGAGCUAACUUGUCUGAAUUUUUGCCUGUGUGAUGAGAUAGCAGACUGCUUCAUGUGAGCACUGACUCUGCAGAGGAGGUGGUGGUAUCCUGGCAGAGAGGCAGGCGGCAAGCUUGGGUGGUUAAACUCAUCUUCAAGUCUUUGCAUUGGGUAGAAUUGACGGUGCUGAGGGUGUUUGGAGAACAUAGAGCUAAUCCAUACUGACGUAAUUUUACAGGCCCAGAGAGUGAUAAGUCCAGUUCAGUUUUGUAACGCUAACUAACCCUGUUUGUGUUUGUGGAAAGCAAAAUGUGACAAGUGACCUUGCAGGCUGGUAGUUACCGCUUCUUUUCUCUUGAGUAUUAGAACUGGAGCUCUAGGCCAGCUCCUUGUGCAAAUAUUCAAGCAGCUCUUUCAAAGCUGAUGGCUUCCAACUGGAAACGUAAAUAAAUUUGUGAUAAGGAGAAGUCAGUGGAAACAUUGUGAGCAGUCUGCGCCUGUGAACUAAGGUGCUUGGCUUAAAAGCACAGUAAUCACAAGAACAGCACAGAAUGGAGUUGUUAAAGCACUGGUUCUAGCUUUACUUGACAUUAAUGGCUGCUUCGUAUGGAUACUUUGAAUUCUCAGAUCAAGGAUGUAACUGAAAGACAGUCACAGCUAGACCUCCCAAGGCCAUCCGUGUGUCGGGGUGGAGUUGAAAGGAGCCACUGGUUAUAGCAGGUUCACAGAUUCCAGAUUGUUGUUUCAUAAAGCUAAUUCUGCGUGUAGUGCUGAGGUAUCUAACUGUUGUCAUACCAUUAUAGAAUUGAAAGGCAAUUUUUUGAUGUAAAUUACUGCGGUCUUUGGAACUAAAAAUUAGUCUUGUGUUAUCAUAAAUUUUAAGAAUUAGCCAAACCAAAUGAGCUUACUGUGCACGCUUUGGAAAGCGUGGAAACCACUGACGUGCGGUUACUUAAAAUGUUCAUCUCUACUGUUUAUACUUGUUCCCAAAAAGUGCAUAUCUGAAGCAGGUGCUGAGCCUAGUAAGUUACGUGGAAUGGGCAGCCUGGGGCAGAAUGCCUGGAUGGCAAAUGGGCGGUCAGCGCAAAGCCUUGACUGGUUGGGUAACUCCUACUUGAAGCAUGCCGUGUGGGCAGCCACAGUGAGUCUGACUGUUUGCAGGAUAGAGUUGCUGCAACUACUGGGAGCAGUCCGUUGUACUGGGGAUUUCCUAAAAAUGGACUUUGAUCUCGCUUCGUGAGAUGAGGCUGAUAUUGACAGUGCUGCAGAUUUUUAAGUGUUGGGUAAAUGAGUUACCUCUCUCUCCAUUUGAAUGGAAGCCACGAAGACAACAUACACACCAAGUACUCUGUCAUUACUAGCUAUGUUUGUAUGUGGAAUAAUUUAGCAGAGUGCUGAACUCUUUUAUUCUCUUAAUAUUUAAAGAUUGUAGUGGUAUCACGUAGUGUAGAGAAGUUGUAUUAAUCUCUCGUCAUGUUGCUAUCCAAAGAAAUACUGUUUUGUACUCGUUGGUCAUGGGAGAUGUUAUCCCAGCUCUGCAAGAUGGAAAAUAAGUUUGAAACAUACUUUUGAAAAUUGCAUCCAACUACUUCAUUCGGGAAAUGAAGGUCUGAGGAGCUUUCAUAUGUCUUUUCUAUAGAGAAUUCCAAUAUUUUCUAUAUUGAAUGGAGGUUACAUAGCUGUUUUUAAUCCCACUGUUAACAUAUUAGGUUACAAGUAUCUUUCCACUUAAUUGAGCAAACACAGGAGAGUGUUUAUGUAACUGAAGAUGUGCAACUGCCAAUAGAAUUAAUUAGGAGAAGAAUAAUUAGGCAAAUAGUAGUCUCCAAAUGGUCCCAACAGAAAAAUGUAUUGCAAUCCCAAUAGAAAUCUCAUUAAUGUUGUUGUUUGUGUUGAGCUGUGCCUUUUGCUGUACCACAGAGGAAGGCAUUUGUGGAAAGAGCUCAGUGGGGUGUCAGUUUGGGUAUGAAGCAGAAACAAUAUCAAGGUUUUAAACUGUCUGAUCUCAUUACUGUCACUUAGUCCUGGCUGCAACUCCAAUAUCUGCUUAAAAGCCUUUCUUGACUGAAUGAGCCACUUAGGGCCAAAUAGGUACAAAAGAAAAAUUCACUUUAGGACUUGUUACAGAAGUGUUGCUUCGUGUAUCAGAAGCAGGUUGUCCCUUACACCAAGCAAAUAACCAAACAAAAAAUGAGGCGAUGCUUAUUUCAAACAUUUUUUGCUCAAAUUCAACAGCUUAUUUAAAAAGAAGUCAGCAUAUUAUCUAGACCUUUCAUUGUAAUGUUAGUCAGACUGAAAUAAAAGGAAGCUCAUUCUGACUUCUUGCUCCAGUUACAAAACUGGAAUUGGAUACAAGUCUACUUUUGUAUGAAAACCAUAGAAUAGCUGGGUAACUUCUCCAUCUGCAUCAUGAAGAGACAUCGAUGCACAUACCUAAGAAAGCACUCAGGUUCUUUGGAUCUGUAAGGGACAAAGAACUUAAGAGAGAAUGUAUCUGAUAUUUUAUGGCAUCGCUCUUUACAAUCUGAGCAGCAUCCACUUUCUUGACCGAUGUGUUGUGGGACCUGGGACUGAGUGGACAUUCCACUACAAUUCAAAGAUUAAUGAACAUCGUAUCAUAUUUACUGUAACGAAGUCUCUUUGGUCCCCAGUCUAUGGUAGCAGUGUUGUGAUUUGUCACUGGGGCAAUAUCUCAGUUCUCUGUGGUAAGCAGAGGGUGGGAAAAUCAGGUUUUCAGUCUGUAGAGAGUUGUGCGCGGCCUGCUUGCUGUAACAGAGAAGAUGAGUUUUUCCUGUUAUUUCCACCUGUUUGACAUCUUAUCUUCUUUAGUUCUUUUACAAAUUACUGUAUUUCGCUCUACAACACAGUGCAGAGUGCAUGUUUCAGGCUUGUUUCAUAGGCACACUGGGGUAGUAUAUAAGGUGGAGUAAUAUGUACAGUGAGAGCGUCUUCCAAGAAAAUGUAACAGUAAAACCAAAGCAUUUUACAAGCCGUCAUUCAGAGCUUCCAGAGAGAAGCCUUGCCGCAUUUCAGAGGAAGCAUCUGAGGUCUGGAGGGGUUGGGGAAGCUGUUUAAGGACCACAAAUAUCAUUUGUAGCAAUGCUAGCAAUACAGUCCUGUACAACUCCACUUUCCGACAGCGUUAGAAUGAUAGCCUUCAUUCCUCUACCAGUGAGCUACAGCACCUUUUGGGUUUGAACUGCUAACAGGAUUUUGUUCUGUUUCUUUGGUAAGAACAAGCUAGCAGCUGAGUAAUGUGUGCUGUAGUGAAUGUGUUUUAUUUUUGGUGAAUGGUAAAUGAAUCCACAUUAAAAUGUUGUAGACUGACAACUCUGGAAACCAAAUGCCUCUUUUUGUAGUGUAGGCAACUACAAAAUGCAGACAACAGUUACUGUGCUCUACUUCCCCUACUGGAUAUAGUUGCCAUUGUUUCUAAUUAGCUUACUUUCCUGUUACAGUAGCAGCUGUGGAUAAAUAGCAGUCAAGCCAUCCUCUUACUUAUAUGAAUUUUUAAAAAUGUGUCUAUAAAAUAUUCACCGGCUCUGAAUUCCUGGAGCCACAUUCAGGCACACAUAUCACUUGCUUGCUGAAAAGAAACCGACAUCCAAGUGAGAUUUCUGCAACUCGUCCUGAAGACAGUAGGUAUGAAACCAGGUAAGAAAUAGAAGUAGUUGUCUGACUAUGAGUCUUGGAACACGGUCUAAAUGAGGAGUGAUGCUCCAUACUGCUGUCCAGUGCAGAAAACCCAAAAUGGGAGGUUCUGGCUUCCCCAGUACAUGGCCAUGAAUGCUGAAUUUGUUGCAGUUAAUCAGCUAACCAGUGACUGUAGUGCUAAUGGCAAAGCCUUUCUUUUGAUGCUUUCUAAACACAGCCCUUUUGUGGUCUUCCACAGAACUUGCAGAAGGAAAAGUGUACAAAAAUGCAUGCAAUGAAUGAGCAGCAAGGCUGAUGCCUCAGAAGGGUCUUGGCUGUGGUGUACAUCCCAGAGCUAUACUUUAGCACUUGCAGCAUGUGCUGCAGUUAAAUCCAAUGCGUCUGGGGAGUGCUGAACACCUACAUUAGAGACAGAGCAACUGUGACAGAUGUGCAACAGCUCUGAUGCACAUCCAGAUUACCAGUUGCUGUGCAAACACUGUGCACUUAGAUGAGGGCUGCUGCUGUCUGUAAUAUUCUUGAACAAACGACAUGAAUGCACUGCGCAGUGCAGGCAUGACUAAGGCCAGUGCUUUCAGGACUUGGCAAGAUUUACUGGCAUGAAAGAUCUCUUCACAGCUAACAUAUGCUGAACACAGAUUUUGCCUCUUGUGUGCACAGAAACGGGGUAUUUCUAGUGUUCAUGGACAGAACUGUAUUGCAGUACAUAGCCCUGCUUCCACACCUGAGCUUCUUCCAGUUCAUGUCUUUAAUGGUCAAAUGCUGAUGCCCUGCUUCCUGGGGAGGUGCUGUGCUGAGGGGACUCUCAAGAAGUGUCACUCUUGCAUGUCUCACCAAGUGAAUUCAUGGGAGCAUGGCUUUAUUAAUCUCAGGGCUGCUGGGCAGUAUUCUGUUUCCCUUGUCCACCUCUUACAGCAUGAGUCAAUUUAGACGAAUCAAAUUAAUAAUCAAAGAUGUAAUGACUUAAAAACGUAACUCCGCCUGAGGUAACAGAGUAGUGCUGGCUCAUUGGUGCUUAUUGUUUCCACCCUGGACGUAAAAAGAAAGGGUAUGGCCUGUUAGAGAGAGUGCUGGGGAGCUGCCCUGGAGGCUGGUCAGGGUGGGACCCGGGCAGCCAGGCCAGGAUAGGAAGAUGAUGUUAUGGCUUAGGAUGGGAAGCUGAUGUUAUGGCUUUUAAUAAGUUCAAAUUCAAAAAUAGCUGACAGCCAACCACCCUCCUAGUUCUGAUUAGAAGCUGUUUUUUUUCCUAUGGGGACUUAAUUGUUUCUUUGCUCUUAUAUAACCAGGUUACAUUGAAGUUGACUUUUAUUGUAGUUGAUGCUUUUUAUUCCCCUUUCUACUUCUUUUUCCCAGUAAUAAAAGUUUGAGGAUGUCAGUCAGCAUGGGGACUGAGCUGCAGGGGAAGCAAACUGCUCACCCUUUCCACUUGUCUGCUCCGCUGGGUCCUGGUGCCUCACUGCUUCCCAUGUCUUCUCAUCAUGAUUUAGUGUAUGUUAGAACCCAAAACUCUUCAGAAUAACAUCCAGUAGAUUAGGAAACACUGAUCCAGUAAACAAAAAUUAGGUCACCUCUUGGACUAAUUUGCAAAUCCCAUGCAAGCAGUUUGCUAAAAUUAGAGACUAAGUCUUCUGUUUGUGUUACUUCCCUAAGAAAGAAUAAAUUCUAGCCUGAAACUGAGCUGUAAUGCAUGUAGUCACCUCAGUGACUCGGCAGGUGUUUGAUUGGUGUGAUUGGUGUUUACAGAUGAACAAAAUUUGUGCUCUGCAAAUCGUGCUAUCAGUUUCCUAAAGCUUUACAUCUCUGCAUUCAGCAAUGGGCAGCAUGCAGAUGUAAUGUUUGGAAAGUCCAUCCAGCAGGUUAUUUUUCUCCAGAUUCUCUCCUUUUGGAAAUGCUGUGCCGUUAAGGUUUAUUUUGGAGAGAUUAGAUGCUGACGUGCGAAACCUGUUGCUUAUCUUGGUUUUGGCUGCUUUAUCUACAAAAGCGAAGCAGAGCAGUAGGAUUAGAAUAGGUGAAUGGAUUAGAGAUUAGAAUAGGAUUAGAGAUGGUUUGUCUGUACUCCAAAAAUUGAUUUAUGGAGAUCUCUAAUUCUGGCUGGUACUGCUAUGUACUGGUAAGCCAUCAUAAACUAAUAUGAAUGUAAGUGUGCUCAUCUAAUGGAUCUUAUUAUAAAUGAAGAUGUUGGUUUAUGCUAUUUUGGUUAAAACUGUAAAAGGAGCGUAGUAUUGGUUCAGCAUGUUUAUUGUAAGUAGUCAAAUAUAGAUAUCUAGCUCCCCUUUCCUGUUACUCUACUUCACAAGAACGCUGUUACUUUUAUCAGUUUCUAUAUUUCCUGAAUAUGGGAGUGAUGUUAUUGCAUGGUGAAAAAUAUGUUGAAAUAGAGAGUGAGGGGUUGGAAAUAGAAUGUAAGAAUGGAUUUAUUUAAAAAAGAAAAAAAAAUAGUCAUUUGGUAGAAAUUAAUUGUCUAUUCUUUGAGAAACGAGUGCUGUGCACUCGUGUACAGCCUUGCAAAGCUCACAGGUAGUGACUGACAGAUCCAGUGACGAGGCAGAAAAAGGCUAUGCAAAUUCUCUACAGUUAAUACAUUUUUUUUAUUUUGCUGAUCCACUUCAAAAACCAGGAGACUUUGGGAGAACUAAACACAGAGAAUGGAAAGCUGUUACUGUAAAGAGACCAAGCUAGUCCUGGCAAGUGCAGACACAGCUCCUACCAAACCCAGUAGGAGCUAUGUUCAUGUUAAACCUGAAUUAGGUCCAAAAUGUUAUUCUAUGGCUGUGGUAGCACUCGUGUAGACCUGCCUUCUAUAAUGUUAGGCUAUGAGACAAUACUAAAGCUUUUCUGUCCUACGUAAAUGUGUAAAAAUGAGUAACAGUUCAUAGUGACCUUAGAACAGCUCCAUGCUUUUAAAAAUGAUGGAAUAUUUGUAGAGCUUCCUGUAUGAAGUGUCUGAGGAACGGUAAAAAGUCCCAGAACAGUAGAAUGGGGGGUGUAUAAAUUGAAACUACCUUAAAAGAAAGUACUUUGCAGAACAGAUUACUUGCCCCAGGAGGAGAGUGUAGGGGUGGAUUGCAUACACUGGUUCAAAAAGGGCUGUGGUUCAAUCAGGACUAUGGGAUUAUGGAUACUCUACAUGCCUAACCCACUAGUUUUAUGGUUUUGUUGCCUUCUUUUUUAAUGUUUUAAUAAAAAAUAAAUGAAGUUUUGCUACUUAAUGCAUUAAUACAUUAAAUAUUGUAUAUGUAUUUUUUUAUCUAUAUGGCCCAAGACAAUUCCUCUUCACUCAGUGCUGCUCAGGCAAGCCAAGAGGUUGGACACCCGUAGUGCACCAAGUAAUGAGCAGGCUAGCAGCUGGAUAAGUCACACUGAUGCAGUGUGUCACAUGCGUGUAUUUCACCAAGAGGAAAGUGAUAAAGUCUCUAUCUCUCAAAUUUAGUAACUGUAGCUGUCAGUCUUAAUGAGAAGGAUUAUGAAUUAAAAAGGGCCAAUGUUGUUUAUGGGAGUGAUGUGGACUCAGAAUCUGAAACUCAGUGAUUAUAAUCACCACAAUAAGCAUUGCUGGGCUCUACUUAAUUUAUACAUGAUUAGAUGGUAACAUUUUCAGCUGGAAUAUUAAAACACCUCAAAUGCAUUAGUGUCAAUCAUAGGUGCAUGUCACCUUUUUUGAAAAGAGACAGUAAUCUAGGCUGAUCCAUAAUCUAUCAACAAAACUCCAUGAAUAUCAACAUUACCUUAGUACAGAGUUUUCAGGAAGGAUAGCACCUUUUUGUGUGUACUUGUAAAGCUUCACCCUGUAAAUAUUGUAAUACAAGCCACAGAAUACUAACAUUUGCUCAAAUGUUUUGAAAUACAUUUGUUAUUGAUUUUUUUUUUCUUCUCUAGCCUUCUAUUAUGGACCACAUGUCCUGCUAUCUGUCCUGCAUAACAAGAGCCAAGAGAGGCCUAGAGAUCUCCAAGCAGAAAACUAGGAUGUGAUGGCUGGGUAUGGUGUAGCAGCAGUAUGACCAUGAAGGAUGGUAAGUUGUACCCUAGUAUGAUUGAAAAAGUGGAGAAUUAUUAAGUAGCUUCAGUCACCUCAAACAAAUGUUCCUCUCUUGUGUUCUUUACCUCGAAUUUCCACAGGCAUGCCACAGGCCUUCAUUCCACCAUAGUAAAUCAAGAGAACAAUGUAAGUCUGGCAAAACUUCAUUUAUUUGCAUAACAAAGGCUGUAGUAAAUCAGAUAGUAAAUAACAAAAAUGUGGGUUCAUAUUGAACAAAUUAAUUCCACGUGAGGGAUUAGGUCUAACAUCAACUUCCAUGAAGGCCUUUACGUUUCGCUCCAGCACUCAGCUGGCUUCUCGGGAUGGACGGCUGCAUGGAGGCUUGCAAGGAGCUAUCUGAAUCAUGUGCAGCCCUUGGAAACCACCAGCUCCUCUGUAAGAGAAGUGUAUCAAGGAAGAUUCCUCCAAACUUACCACUUGCAUUUCACCUUCUGCAGGCCACACAAUUCUCCUCUACUUUAUAACAACGUAUGAACGUUUGUACAAAAGAGCGAAGUGACUCCCAGCUGUCCUCCAACAGAAAUCCAAUGAUUUACUGACUUGAUGUACAAGAUGGCAGAAAACAGUAUGGUUCUGUUUAUAAUAGAAUUUCUUUGAGAUUUGUGGCUAUAAAAUAUAUACAUUCUGGUGAAGUUAGUUAUUUAAAAAUUUAGGUGGAAAUAUGUCUAAAUACUACAGCAGUUUUUAUAAUAAUACACUUACUGUUGUAUGGACAUGGUAAUUCUCAGCACAAACAUGCGUUUUCCAGCUGAUAAUGCUUCUCCUCUACCUUUCUUUCUACAAAUGUCAGUGUUUGGUCUUCCAUUGUAAGACAAUCUGAUAUUACCAUGCCAAUUAAAUCUAUCUUAUCAAAGCAAAAUGUAUUGCAGAGAAGGCAAUUAGGAUUCAAAAUAUAUACUAAAUUGAGCCCAAUCACUGAGCACUGAUCCACUCGAGAACCAUACCUGUAGUUUUGUCAUCUGCUUUAGCACCUGUGCGUAUGAAUUGGAUCUGAGUCAGCGACACAAGAAUCAGAAGCAGAUGAUGCAUGUGUAAAACGUGUCAUUGGGAAGCUUGUGAAGAUGAACGAGUUUGCUGGCCACUGGGUUGCUGAUUGAUCUUCUGAAGUAAGAGCUUUUGGUUUUUUUCCCAGCUUUGAUGUUGACCAACUUUGUUAUACUUUGAAUUUCAGCUUUGUUAAGUGCUCUCAGGCCUAGUAUUAAGGUGUUAGUUGUGGUUGCAUCCAUUACAAGGCAGGUACUUGCGAAACACUUAAUACAGACAUUUCGUAACAAAAAUGAUAACGGAAGGAAACUUCAGUAAAUUUAUAAACAAGACAUACCUAAGAAAUGUAAGUAACACAACAGAAAAAGGUCUUGAAAUUAAGAGGAUUAGGUAUUGCUGGCAAGACAAGUGUAACGAUGUAAGGUGCAGUAAGAAAGCAAGUGUAUGAGCAUAGCAAUAAAGGGCAGUACCUGAGGACCCCUCCCUGAACAUGUUGGUAUCAGUUUUGCUUGGUGUGUGGUGCAAUAUAUGCAUGCUCUGGCUCUGUAUGGACUCAAAGGAGAAAGAGAGAAUCCCAUUUGUCUUCCCUUUCCCUCUGAUCUCCAUGAAAUCCUACCAUGAGAUGAGCGGACUCGAGCAGCGUGUGACGAUGUGCCUGUGCAGAACAGGGCAGUGCAGCCCGAGUUGGUGGUGGAUGGUGCAAGAAGGCAAUGGGAGGGACGCUCUGGGCAGAGGGGUUGCCCUAAUGUACCUCUGUGGCUUGGACAGGAAUGGAUCAUUCAUGGCAAAUUCAUCUGUGUAGUGGUGAGAACAUAGGACUUAGACUUUCAAAGGUAUGUCUGUAAUUCUGCCAGGCAGCACGUGGCCUGUAAUUAUUUCCCUAUGCUAUUCUGUUAAUUUACACUUGUUUUACUUUGCUUGUGUUCGAGCAGAUCCAUGUUAUAAUGGAAAUACACCAGCAGCGCUACAGAACGAAGGCCAAGACUCAAGUAAGUGUUCUGGAGUGAGUUUUUGUCAUACCUGUUCAAACAGCAAGUCAGAGGAAAAAAAAAAACAACAUAACAAAACAUGCAUUCAAGCUAUUAAAUUAGCAUGUGACUGGAGAUCUAGAUUCAUGAAUAACAUACAAGCGUCGUGACGCCGAACCUUUGCAGUUUGUGUGGGUGCAAACUUCGGUUCCACUCACUGUGUGAGGUUUGCCCCUGCACCUCCUUCCCAGAAGGGCUUACCAUGGGGUGAAGCUCCCAGCAUAGGCAUGACUCCGACACAAACCUGUUGUUGCCAGUAAGAGUGGUGUUCAGCGUGUAAGACGUUGUAUUGCCUGAAGCUUAUCUGUGCAGGCCUAUAAAAAUAGCCCUCAAAUGGAUAACUUUUUCCAGAUUAAAUAAACACAUCAUUAAUGUAA